rnacentral:rRNA from 1 species
UACGUAGGGGGCUAGCGUUGUCCGGAUUUAUUGGGCGUAAAGAGCGUGUAGGCGGCCAGGUAGGUCUGCUGUGAAAACUGGAGGCUCAACCUUCAGAGGUCGACCGAAACCAUCUGGCUAGAGUCCGGGAGAGGAGAGUGGAAUUCCUGGUGUAGCGGUGAAAUGCGCAGAUAUCAGGAAGAACACCCGUGGCGAAAGCGGCUCUCUGGAACGGUACUGACGCUGAGACGCGAAAGCGUGGGGAGCGAACAGG